UGCUUGGAAAGUACUCAACGAAGAAGAGAAUGCUCAUUGUAUCUGCUUUGUCUUCAUCAACUGGUCCUUUGUUUGAGAUUUAUGUGUACUUUUGAAUAAUCUGUUUUUAAUUUUCAGAGGAACCUUUUGCCUCGUGGUUGUUAUUGCAAGACAGGCUAUAUUGCUGUUUUUGAUGUUUGUUGGGAAACACAUUAACAGUAUUUUGUUUGAAAACUCAAGACAUACUUUGCUUUUAAUUGAUUAUGUGUGAUGAUGAUGAUGAUGAUCCUUUCCUUUUCUCUGAUUAUUAGUGCAUUUAGCUUUCCAAAAUUUCUAUUCAAUUUCUUUUCAAAAGAUUUGCAGUGUUAUGGCAAUCAUUACAAUUACACUCAACAAUGACUUGGUGUUCAGGAUAAAGUUGAGAUGCAAACUGGAAAUUUGAAUGUUUAGGAUAAUGCUGAAAUUUAAACACAGACACUAGAUUUUGACCCGAGCUUGAAAGCGCGGAUUCUUUUGUUAUAACAAAUUUUGAUAUUAAUUAGUAUUUUGUGAUUGUUUUACAUUAUUAUGUUACAAAGUCGAAUUAUGUAAAAGAACUAAUUUUAAAAAAAUUAUAUAAUUCAUGAAUUACUUUAUUUAGAAUUCUGUAUAAAUCUUAUGUAAUUCUCUCUUACGCAUGGGUAUUUUAGAUGGACCUUGAAAAAUCAAACCAAAAUCAACUCGAAAAUACUGGUUCACGCCGGGUCCAGAGAAAAAUACGUAUUUGUUGAAAAAUGCGGGUUUCUGUUCGCGUCUGAGACCUACCCGAAACCUGUUUGGGAGCCAAAGUACCCAAAAUGUUUGUGUAUAUUAGAUAUAUUUGUGUAUUUUCGAUAUGUUUUUGGUAUACAUAUAUUUUUGAUUUUUUGGUUCGAAUUUUUGGUUAUAGUUUUGGAUUUCGAGUAAAAAUUAAAAUUUUAAAAAUAUAUUUUUGGGUAUUCAGAUACAAUUUUGGGUAUUUUUUGGUUCAUCGUUCAGAUUUCGAUACAAUUUUAGGUCUUUUGAGUAUUUUCUGAUUUUCGGGUAUUUGUUUAGAUUUUGGAUAUUUUUCGUGUUUCGAGUAUUUUUAUGUUUAUCGAGUUUUAUUUGAGUCCUAAAUAUCUGAACGGAUCCAUACCCGUUACGUACAAAAAAUAACAUAUAUUUUAUAGGUAUUUGAAUUAUGGAGUCGAAACCAUCCAGAUCCUCUGUUGUGUGAUCUUAUCAGGGACUUUCAAACUCUCACUGCAGUUUUCAGAAGAUUAUCCAAACAAACCACCAACGGUUCGGUUUGUUUCAAGGAUGUUCCAUCCAAAUAGUAAGUUGAAAAUAACAACACUAACCUUUCUUAUUCUUAGGGCAUGUGAUACCCACGAAGCUUACACUUGGUCAUUGUCGUGUGUAGUUUAUGCUGAUGGGAGUAUAUGCUUGGACAUUCUCCAAAACCAGUGGAGUCCAAUUUAUGAUGUCGCUGCUAUACUUACCUCCAUCCAGGUAUAAUAUAUAUAUAUAUAUAUAUAUAUAUAUAUAUAUGGUCUAAGUUUUGCACCAGAUGAUUCUUUUUUUUUUCUGUUUAUAUUAGGUGCUACAUGGGCGUUGAGCUACUUAAAUUGAACAGCGAAGGCAAUGAAUCUAUUCUCAAGAACCUUUGGCAUCAUACGGAUGCUAUCAUCUGCUGCUCAAUGAAGGUACUAACUCAAAUAUCAAGCACAUGAAUGUUUUAUUCACUGAUCCUUUUAUAACCUUUUUGUAUAGGCCAUGCCUGUCUUCACAUUUGCAAACCAGGCAGGACUUGACAUGCUUGAGACUACAUUGGUUUCUCUUCAAGAUAUCACUCUAGAGAAGAUAUUUGAUGACAGUGGAAGAAAGACUCUGUGCUCUGAGUUCCCACAGAUUAUGCAACAGGUUUUCAACAACGUUCUGAUAUGAUUUGUGUCGUAGAUUGAUACAGCUUUUUAUUUGUCUUACUGGGAUGUUUUGGUUUAGGGUUUUGGGAGUCUUCAAGGUGGGAUAUGUAUCUCAAGCAUGGGGAGACCAGUUUCAUAUGAGAGAGCUGUUGCUUGGAAAGUACUCAACGAAGAAGAGAAUGCUCAUUGUAUCUGCUUUGUCUUCAUCAACUGGUCCUUUGUUUGAGAUUUAUGUGUACUUUUGAAUAAUCUGUUUUUAAUUUUCAGAGGAACCUUUUGCCUCGUGGUUGUUAUUGCAAGACAGGCUAUAUUGCUGUUUUUGAUGUUUGUUGGGAAACACAUUAACAGUAUUUUGUUUGAAAACUCAAGACAUACUUUGCUUUUAAUUGAUUAUGUG
rnacentral:lncRNA from 1 species